rnacentral:ribozyme from 1 species
UGCCCAGCAACUCCUAUCCCUACCUCCUCACAGUACCGGCCGGAAACUAUGAGCAACCUUAGGGAUACCAACCCCGGUGGGAACUUUGGUCGUAGGCAGACAGGGAAGG